rnacentral:lncRNA from 1 species
UAACAUAUCUUCCAUAUAGUCCCUAAAUAAAAUGCACCAAAAAUACGUUUUUUGUUUAGAGAUAGGUAGCACGCUACCCGCUUCGUUUUAUUUCAUUUAGAAAUAAACUUAGCUGGAAAUGUAAAUCAACUAGGAUUCAAACUUGGGUCUCGGGUACCAACCACCAAGCCUUUUGCCACUUGCUCUAGGGAUACGUUAGUU